ensembl:lncRNA
GUAUUCUGUACAUUUUCACUUGGAAAUUUCAUUCCAGACACAAAUGAAUACAUUAUUAUCUCUAAAAGCAGAAAGAUAUUGAUUAAUUAAAACAGUAUACAUUUACCUUAGCGUUAGAUCAGGCUGGCAAAUUCCAAAGAGUCAAACACUGCAUCUAUUUAUGCCACCUGGGAUCCUUAUUAAUUAUCAUGGGAAAAGUACUUCACGCUUCAUACAUUUUGCUUUUUCACACAUUUCCCACAAAAUGUUCAAUUUCACAUUUAAAAGGCAAAUUAGUUUUCAAUUCCCUAAUGAAUAUAAUCAAUAUCUACCUUUGGAAAGUUUCAAAGUGAAAAACAAAACUAUGUGCAUUUUCCAAUAACCACUUAGCCAAAUAAAUAUUGCCAUUAUAAGUUUAAACAGCUUACAAAGUAUUAUUUCCUUUGUUCUCUUCAAAAUAAUACAGGGACACAUCAAGUCACAUAUUACAAGCAUCUGAACUGGGAAAGUAUUACACACUGGUGGCAUGCAAGUAUUUUACAUUUUUUAAUGCAAUGAAAAAUGCUCUUGUUUUCUUUAAAUAGAUGAAACAGAAUUAAGAUAAAGUUUCAAUUAAAAUAUAAAUAUUAUUCCAUGAAUAUAAUGGGGUUUUUUAAAAAGCAAAGUGGCAGAGAUGAGAAUUUUAGUUCUGAAGAAUUUCUUUCUUAACUAAAGAUUGUCACUGGCAAAAUUUGGUACUAAAAUAAAAUGUCCUUUAAAAGUACACCUUCUAUCCAUCUCACCAUAUGGCCAAUUCUUAUCUAUCCACAUUUAGAUUAUCCAUGGGAAAGCGUUAAUCCUGGACAAGCUUCUCUCAGUCGCACAGUGUACUGUGUGAUUGGCUUCUAUUAUUCAGUCGAUAUGUGCUCAGACUCUCUCCGUCUUUAAAUAAAAAUCUAUGAAAAACAUGCCAUGUUUACUAUGCUCAGUUUCUUUACAUUUCCUUCUUUCUUUUGCUACUAAUUUUGAGGAGAAAAUAUAUUUUAAAAUGUCCUUUUUGAAAAGGCUGCUUCUCUAGAACUAUUCUGAAGACAGUAAAAACCACUGAAGAGGAAGAAAUAGCUCUGUGGAAUGUUCAGACCCCUUCCUCUGAACAAAGCCUACGGAGGAGAGGAGGAGCCACAAGGGAGGCAUAGAGCACCCACGUUCACAGGUGACAGAAACAUUGAGAACCACAGGAUUGUAACAUUUGGGAGCUGGAAGGGACCUUAGACAGCAUCUAAUCCACUCACUCAUUUUACAAAGGAAAUGAAGAUUAGAUGAAAGACCCGCCCAAAGUCAGACAUAGUGAAAAAAGUGAGAGUGUUAGUUGCUCAAUUGUCUCACUCUUUGUGACCCCAUGGACUAUAGCCCCACCAGGCUCCUCUGUCCAUGGAAUUCUUCAGGCAAGAAUAAUGGAAUGGGCAGCCAUUCCCUUCUCAGGGGAUCUUCCCAACCCAGGGAUCAAACCCAGGUCUCCUGCUUUGCAGGCAGAGCUCACUGGAGAGCAGCGGUGCUCCAGACCCUCCCCUCAGUUCUUAAUUACUGUUUGUUUCCCCCUGUGUCCAGCCUUAGGCUCUCUGCAAGGGUCCUGACCAUAUCCCAGGGUGCUGUCAAAAUGGCCCAGGACAAUGCGCCACCCCCCCACAUG